GAUAAACGCUGGCGGCGCACAUAAGGCAUGCAAGUCGAACGGAAGUCGUUACGAAAUGAAUUGAAGAUUUAUCUGAUUGAAGUUUUGUAACAAUGGCUUUAGUGGCGGACUGGUGAGUAACACGUAAGCAACCUACCUAUUAGAGGGGAAUAACAAUGAGAAAUCAUUGCUAAUACCGCAUAAGCUUGUAGCAUCGCAUGAUGCAGCAAGAAAAGGAGCAAUCCGCUAAUAGAUGGGCUUGCGGCUGAUUAGCUAGUUGGUUAGGUAACGGCUGACCAAGGCAACGAUCAGUAGCCGGGCUGAGAGGCUCUGCGGCCACAUUGGGACUGAGAUACGGCCCAG
rnacentral:rRNA from 1 species